rnacentral:lncRNA from 1 species
GGGAAGGCAGAUCAUGCUUCACCAGGCAUCUAAAUGACUUUUCCUUGCAUAAAAUUAACCCAAAAUGUAGGUCAAUAAAGAAUCCUGUUUCUGCCAUGCUUAAUCCAGUAACUUAACGAUAAGUUGAGGAUUGAUACUUUUUGAGAAAAAAUAUGUUUUAAAUAAGGGAGCUUUACCAUUUUAAUUUUAUUGGAGGGACUAGGAUUAAAUUUUAAGGCAGGGCAGGAGUUUUAAGUAAAAAAAAGACAGGAUGAGACGCUAUACAAAAAAAGGCAGGGUGACAUCAGAUGAUUUAUGUAAAAAAGUCAGGAUAAACUAAUAAAAACGGGUAGGACCGAAUAAAGUGAAAAAUAAAAAGACAAGACCGAGAUUACAACUAAGAAA